CUAGGAUUAUAUGGUCAUUCUUUGAAUCAUUGUAAAAUCAAGAGAAACCUAGAUUUCAAAUGCAAAGUAAACAUCAAGUUUGCUCGAAUCCAUUCAACUUUCAAGACAAAGUUCCAAGUACAUUACAUCAUUAACCAUUUACAAAGGAGAUUACAAAAAAAACAAAAUCCUAAUGUCCAAAUCUUCAUCCUCAAGAUUUCCUUCAUUUCAUGUUUUAGCUUGCAACGUCUCAUGUUAUGUCUGAGACUACAAACCUCGUCUAUUUUUCAAACCCAAACGACCCAACUUGCAAUUUCAGUCCAUCAAUGCCAUAUCCGAACAUUUGGCGAGCUUUGCACAUACAAUAAUUGGCCGUGA